CAUAAGUAACCGCAAAUGCUUCCUUUUAUUCCUAUUUACACGUGACUUUUGACCUAAUGAUCUGAAGUCAUUGAUGUCCACCUGCUAAACCGACGCGUCCAUCAAACGUGAGAGAGUCGCAUUUCAACAAACACUGGCGAUCACGUCCUCAUCGCUGCCGUGUUCAUCUGGUGCUCCCCUUGUGGCAUUAACAUUUGAAAGACCCUCCAUCCUGUGAACUUAUUUGAACUCUGACCCUCUCCUCUGUGCGUCACAGACAAAAAAAGAGAGAGAAGCUGCAGCUGGGAUGGAUGGAGGACUACAAGUCGGUUCUCACCAGCAACAUGGCAGCAGUAGACUCCCGUCCAUGAUGAGCUGUCGCGUCUGGUCCCAGGCGACAAAGAGAGGGGAAAGAUGGCACGGUCCACGCCGCAGAGGACUACACCGCCACCACCAUCAACAGCAGCGCCUAGUGUCCCUUCGAGUGCACGAGCAACUCAUUUGUCCUAAUUCAUAUAUGCACCCCCGAGGCUACGCCCCCUCUUUGUGAGUCAGUGGUCCACACCUUCCUCCUCCUCCAGUGAGAUGCCUCUGCACAGAUAUGAAGGCUCACUUGUGAUUGACACAAUGCACUCGAAAAGGUACAAGGUGUUCAUUUUCGUCUUUGUCAUUGCAGCACAUAUCGCGGGGCUCUUUCUAAUGGUUUGGUGCCUUGAAAUAAAAUGGGUUAGCCUGCCCCAAAUUUGUAGGUUGGAUACACAAAAUGGGUCUCG